rnacentral:lncRNA from 1 species
AUGUCCACUGCUGACAGUUCUCUGUUUAUUGUAUUCUCAUAGACCCAGGGUGAUAGAGGAGCUGCCAGCUUGAAUGUUGCCCGUCACUGUAUCAGAGUGAAAAAAAUUUUUGGAGAGUUUCACUUUAGUAAUUAAAUGCUGCAGCCUGGAAGCGACACAUCCCAUUUCUGCUACAACCUGUUGGCUCCAUGCAAGUAUAAGGGAACCAAAGCCAUAGAAUCUUAUCAUAUACUCAUAAGUGGAGAGAAACAGAAAGGAAAAUUUGGACCCUUUGGCUGUUCACAGCAAGCAGAAUUGGAUCCUGUAUAA